AAGGUUGUAGUAUGUCUGAAUGCUAUGCAAAAUCAUGUAUGGUUCCAUGAAGUUUCCUGGACGAUUCCUCUUUCAGAUAUCUGAGCAUGCCAUGGUAUGACUAGAGCCAAGAAAGAUAGUCAAGUGCUGCCUAGCUAUAAGCUUGGACUCCAUGGGCAUUUUUUUCUGUGUCUAGGUAUAAAUGGAUGUACCGGUGUGUCUCUAUGAGGAACCCAGAAGCCAGCCUCAUAUUUGUUUCUCAUGUGCCGAGGAAAAGAAAAGUUACAGGCAUCUCAAAGACCAGCCCACACAGGAGAGCACACUGGCUACAGAAGCAACAAGAGCUUCUUGGACAGGGUCCCUUCGGGGCUUCAUCUUCAGCCAGGAGGCAGACUGAGACCCAGACCUCUGCACAGCUUCCCUGCCAAAGGAGAGUUCACUUCAGGGAGGGAUCUGACCCCAGGGCUCAGGUGAGAACACCAUCUUGUAUCUCAGGUCUCUCAGAGACCAGUUCACAGGAGAGCAUUUGGGAUGCAGAAGCAACAGAGCUUUUUGGACAGGGUCCUUUCAGGCCUGGAGGAAGAGCUGAGCUCCAGACCUCUGUGUACCUUUGCUGCAAGAGAAGAGCUUGCCUGCAGAAGGUGCUCUGACCACUGGGACUCAAGAGAGAGUUGGACUCCCAGGAGUGCUGACAGAGGCUAAAAGAAUCACAGGAGAAAUAAGCUCUAGCCAGACACAGCUAGAACAUCUAACACCAGAGAUUACGAAAUGGUAAAAAGCAAAUGUAAGAAUCUUAUUAACAGAAACCAAGACCACGCGGCAUCAUCAGAAUGCAGUACUUCCACCACAGUGAGUCCUGGAUACACCAACACACCGGAAAAGCAAGAUUCAGAUUUACAAUCAUAUCACAUAGAGGAUUUUAAAUAGGGCACUAAUAAUUCAAUUAAAGAAAUACAGGAGAACACUACUUAAACAGGUAGAAGUCCUUGAAGAGGAAGCAUAAAAAUCCCUCAAAGAAUUACAGGAAAACAUUGCUAAACAGGUAGAAGUCCUUAAAGAGCAUACACAAAAAUUCCUUAAAGAAUUACAUAAAACACAGCGAAACAGGUGAUGGAAUUGAGCAAAAAACCAUCCAAGAUCUAAAAGGAAGGUAGAAUCAAUAAAAAUUUAAAAAUUGGGGUCACCUUGGACGUGGAGUCGGAGGACACCCCCAAGGUCCUCUAGAGGACUCUCCAUGCAAUCUUAGGACCACUGGUGAGUGGAACACAACUUCUGUUCCAACCCAAUUGUGUGGGACCUGAGACAGCAUCAGGAAAGCAGGAAACAGGGCCUGACUAGGGUCACAAGUCCCUCUGGUCAGCACCAGCAAUGGGUCACCUGGGCACUGAGUCAGCAGACACCCCCAAGGUCCCUAUAGGACAGUUUCUGAGACAGACCCCAUUUCAAGCUCCAGACAUCCGGGCAUCUUCCCUGCAAAAGGAGAGGUGUCUGCCCUGCCUUCCUGGAAGGACUUUGCCUGAGCACCUGGGGUAGCCAUCUUGGUUCCCGGAUCCCUCCAAGACUAGUCUGUGUAGGUGAGAGUGUGGACUACAGAAGCUAACAGCUUCUGUGACAGGUCAAAGCAACACAGCUUCUGGGACAGGUCCUGUUUCAGGCCUUCAUCUUCUGCCAGGAGGGAGCUCCGAACACCAGAUAUCUGUGCACCUUCCCUGUAAGAGGAGAGCUUGCCUGCAGAUAGUGCUCUGACAACUGAAACUCAGAGGAGAGAGCUAGUUUCCCAGGUCUGCUGAUAGAGGCUAACAGAAUUACGAUAUGAACAAUCUCUAACCAGAGACAACUAUAACAACUAACUCCAGAGAUUACCC
rnacentral:lncRNA from 1 species